UACGUAGGGUGCAAGCGUUGUCCGGAAUUAUUGGGCGUAAAGAGCUCGUAGGCGGUCUGUCGCGUCGGCUGUGAAAACCUGGGGCUCAACCCCAGGCCUGCAGUCGAUACGGGCAGACUAGAGUCCGGCAGGGGAGACUGGAAUUCCUGGUGUAGCGGUGAAAUGCGCAGAUAUCAGGAGGAACACCGGUGGCGAAGGCGGUUCUCUGGGCAUGUCCUGACGCUGAGGAGCGAAAGUGUGGGGAGCGAUCCGG
rnacentral:rRNA from 1 species